rnacentral:rRNA from 1 species
AGCAGCCGCGGUAAUUCCAGCUCCAAUAGCGUAUAUUAAAGUUGUUGCAGUUAAAAAGCUCGUAGUUGAAUUUCGGGGUUCUACCGUCGGUCGGGCUACCAAGUCUGUACUGGUGUGUAGAAUUUCUACCUUCUGGGGAACCAUCAUGUUAUUAAUUUAGCGUGGUGGGAAACCAGGACCUUUACCUUGAAAAAAUUAGAGUGUUCAAAGCAGGCU